CCACUGUCAUGCACCUGUACAUGACAGUCAUCCUGCGUCAUGGAGGGUAUUACAUGAAAAGGUUAUGAAGAGAGCAGUUGCUGUUGUCUCAAUAAUCAGUCAAACAAUGACAGUGGAGCUGCUGCUUUAAAAACGUAGAGGAUUUUGAACCAGGCUGCCUGUGUUCAAGGCUCAGCCCCAAGGUAGCAUCGAGAGGAUUUACUUGCACACAGUGUGUGACAGUCACUGCUCCAAGUACUUCUUCUUUCUCCCUCUUAAUCCACUGUUGACUUUAACACUAGUCAUCCUCAUUGGUCAGCAGUAAGGAGAACUAGCGGAUACUCUAUUUUCAUCCCAUUGGAAUUUGCUUCAUUGAAGGCAAACCUGGACCUAGCUCUUCUACCACAGCACAGGCCAGAUGGUGAAUUGUGAAUUCUUCUAACUAAUCCCUUUGGGUAAAUCUGCAUAGCCACCAUGUUCCGGGAUUUGACAAGAAACAACAACCCUGGGUGGUUAAGAGAGAACAGUUUGAUUCCCUGGUAGUAUCACUGUACAUAUCAUGCUAAUCAACUGGAACUAGGAUUUAUCUGUCGUUAAUCUGUAAUUGAGAAUCAGUGGUUUAAACAGGAACAACACUAUUGAGGUAUAUAAUUUCUCUUUUACUUCUGGUUUUAAAUUCUACAUGGGUGUGGUCUUGUUUCAUACCUCUGACAGCAUGUACAACUAUUAAAUUAAUACAAGAUGGGCAUAAUUUUCCCUUUGUCUUUGUUUUGCACCCGUAUUUCUUGGGAUGUAUCGGUGGACCUGGCUGUCAUCUGGGAUCAUGUUCAUCUUCUGCUGGUGAGUUGGAUGUUACUUUUACCUUGAUGUGUGAAGAAAGACGGAAUAUGGAUAGUUCAAUGAAUUCAAACUUUAUUUGCCACAUGCGCCAAAUACAACAAGUGUAGACUUUACCGUGAAAUGCUUACUUACAAGCCCUUAACCAACAGUGCAGCUCAAGAAGAAAAUAUUUACCAAGUAGGCUAAAAUGAAAAGUAAUACACUGACUCGAUAUCGGGCACCGUUACCGAGUCAGUAUGCAGAGGUACAGGCUAGUUGAG
ensembl:lncRNA